AUACGGAGGGUGCAAGCGUUAAUCGGAAUUACUGGGCGUAAAGCGUACGUAGGCGGUUCGUUAAGUUAGAUGUGAAAGCCCCGGGCUUAACCUGGGAACUGCAUUUAAAACUGGCGAACUAGAGUUGAGUAGAGGGGAGUGGAAUUUCAGGUGUAACGGUGAAAUGCGUAGAGAUCUGAAGGAACACCAGUGGCGAAGGCGACUCCCUGGACUUAAACUGACGCUGAGGUACGAAAGCGUGGGUAGCAAACGGGAUUAGAAACCCUAGUAGUCC
rnacentral:rRNA from 1 species